AUUGAACGCUGGCGGCAGGCCUAACACAUGCAAGUCGAACGGUAACAGGAAGCAGCUUGCUGCUUUGCUGACGAGUGGCGGACGGGUGAGUAAUGUCUGGGACACUGCCCGAUGGAGGGGGAUAACUACUGGAAACGGUAGCUAAUACCGCAUAACGUCGCAAGACCAAAGAGGGGGACCUUAGGGCCUCUUGCCAUCGGCUUUGCCCAGAUGGGAGUAGCUAGUAGGUGGGGGAACGGCUCACCUAGGCGACGAGCACAAGAUGGUAUGAGAGGAUGACAGGCGAAAAGGGAACAGAGAAAGGGUCAGGAGGCCUACGGGAGGGAGCAGUGGGGAAGAUUAGACAAUGGGCGGAAGCAUGAUGGAGAAAUGCGGCGUGUGUGAAGAAGGAAUUAGGAUUGUAAAAAACUUUUAGGGGGGAAGAAAGAAGGAAUAAUGAAACAUUGACGGAGUGACGGUAACGAAAAAAAAAGCACCGGCUAACUACGUG
rnacentral:rRNA from 1 species